rnacentral:rRNA from 1 species
CUCGGCUCUCGCAUCGAUGAAGAACGUAGCGAAAUGCGAUACUUGGUGUGAAUUGCAGAAUCCCGUGUUUCCAUCGAGAUUGCAUCGAUGAAAGAACGCAGCGAANUGCGAUACUUGGUGUGAAUUGCAGAAUCCCGUGAACCAUCGAGUCUUUGAACGCAAGUUGCGCCCGAAGCCGUCAGGCCGAGGGCACGUCUGCCUGGGCGUCACGCAUCGCGUCGCCCCCCCUUCCCGCGACC